rnacentral:rRNA from 1 species
AUACAGGGGGUGCGAGCGUUAAUCGGAAUUACUGGGCGUAAAGAGUACGUAGGCGGUUGCUUAAGUCAGAUGUGAAAGCCCCGGGCUCAACCUGGGAACUGCAUUUGAAACUGAGUGACUAGAGUUUAAGAGAGGGGAGUAGAAUUCCGGGUGUAGCGGUGAAAUGCGUAGAGAUCCGGAGGAAUACCAGUGGCGAAGGCGGCUCCCUGGCUUAAAACUGACGCUGAGGUACGAAAGCGUGGGUAGCAAACAGGAUUAGAUACCCUAGUAGUCC